rnacentral:rRNA from 1 species
UACGUAGGGAGCAAGCGUUGUCCGGAAUCAUUGGGCGUAAAGCGCGCGUAGGCGGCCUCAUAAGUCCGUUGUGAAAGUCAAAGGCUCAACCUUUGAAAGCCGAUGGAUACUGUGAGGCUAGAGUCCGGAAGAGGCGAGUGGAAUUCCUGGUGUAGCGGUGGAAUGCGCAGAUAUCAGGAGGAACACCAAUAGCGAAGGCAGCUCGCUGGGACGGUACUGACGCUAAGGCGCGAAAAGCGUGGGGAGCGAACAGG